rnacentral:rRNA from 1 species
ACCGGGUUUGUCCUGCCAGUAGCAUAUGCUUGUCUCAAAGAUUAAAUGCACGCCGUACAUGCCCGAAAUAUAAGGGGAAACCGCAAAUGGUCAUUAAAUCAGUCACGGUUCUUUGGGAUCGUGACGCUUUUUGGAAAACUGGGCAAUUCUAGGCAAUACAUGCAGCCGAGCCCCGACCCCUCCGGGGCGAAAGACGUUUUUAUUAGAUUCUUCCCAGGCCAGCGAUGGCCGCGGACGUGACGAAGCUGAGCGGCCCGUCGCACGGGCUCGACCCGGCGACGCAUCCUUCUGUCUGCCAUAAACUGUCGACGGUAGGUGAUGCGCCUACCGUGGCCCCACUGACGGGGAAUCGGGUUCGAUUCGGAGGGAGCCGAGAAACGGCUACCCUCAAAGGGAAGGCACGGGCCCGAAAAUUACCCAAUCCCGGCUGGGGGAGGUGUGACGAAAAUAACGACGGGGACCUACGAGACCCGUCGCGGAAUGAGUAGCUCUAAACCUCUAACGAGGACCUACUGGGGGGCAAGACUAAUGCCAGCCGCUGCGGUUUUUUAGCUCCAGUGGCGUAUCAAAAUUUUGCAUUUAAAAAAGCUCGUAGUUGGAUGUCUGCUCUGGACGUAGGGGCCGCUCGCGCGGUCCCCAUGCGCACCGGCAUUCUGCUCGCCACUCGGGGUCGGUUUUCACCGGUGGGCCCCCGGUGGUCGGCGGUUAUCGCUUUGAAAAAAUUAGAGUGUUUUGGGGGUCCCACUCGAAUAUAAUGCACGGUACGAUGGAACUGACUUGGGAUCGGGUCCCGGGGACGACGGAACCGAGGUGAUGAUUAAUAGGAGCAGACGGGGCAUUCGUAUUCCGACGCUAGAGGGGGAAAGACCGUCGGAAGACGACCCACUGCAAAGAUUUCCCAAAGAAUGUUUCCCUUAAACCCAAAGAACGAAAGUCAGAGGCUAAAAGAAGAUUAGAUACCUUUGUAGUUCUGACCAAACGAUCCAGCCGCGAUCCGGCUGCGGCCGGUUGUGACGCCCCGGGCAGCUCGCCCGGGGAAACCUGAGUUCAGGCUCCGGGAAAUGGUUCAAAGCUGAAAUUUAAAGGAAUUGACGGGGGGGCACUCCCAGGAGUGGAGUACGGCUUAAUUCGACUCAACACGGGAAAACCCCCCCGGGCCCCGGACGUUUUAGGACGAAUUACAAAUUGAUAGCUUUUUGGGGGAAUAUGUGGAUGGUGGUGCAUGGCCGCAGUUGGUUCGGGGGGUGACCGCUGGUUGAUUCCGAUAAACGACGAGUUUCCCCGUUGGCUAAAUACGACUCUCCCCGUUCGAUGGGGGUUGCAAGUCUUCUUAGAAGGACCGGGGGCUUCAAGCCGUAAAAGAAUUGGGGUCUUGUGCCCUAAGAUGUCCGGGGCCGUGCGCUACAUAGAGCGGCACCCCGAGGUUUCCUUGGCCUUGGGUUGGGGAAAAUUUCAGUCCCUCUCAGUGCGGGGGAUGGGGUUGAAAUUUCCCCCUCCAACGAGGAAUUCCCAGUGGCGGGGGUCAUUAACUCGUGCCGACAAAGUCACUCCCCUUUGUACACACCGCCCGCGCUGUCCCCGAUUGAACGGGGGGGGUUUCACCCUUAUCCGUGGCCUUUUGGGGGUCGGGGUGGACUAGGGGGGAAUUUCCCCGAACGCCCUUUGGGAGGGGGGAAAAAGUUAAAAAGGUUUCCGUAGGUGAACCUGUGGAAGGAUCUU